ACAGAGGGCAAAGCAAAUGCAGUAUUUUUGGACUUACCGGCACCUCAGUUGGCCGUGCCAUUAGCAAUUAAAACACAGAAAUUAAAGGGGGACUUUUUUGAUUCAUUUUCACCUUGUAUUGAGGAAUCAUAACGUUAUUGUAUCACUUUACAAGGACAUAGAUUCACCGAAAUUAGUUCAAUGGAAAUACUAUAGCAAGAGCAUGGCUGUUAUGACUAGAACGUUGCCCGUGCUAUAUUUAGAAUUCCUGAAACAUAAGAAACCCUCCUCCCAGAAAUUGGAUGAAUCUAUUACUAGUGAAAUUAAUGAAAGAACAGAUCUUACAAAACCUCCUAAAAAAACCAAAAGAGUCCUCACAUAAUGUGCGCAGCUUACACUUCCAGGCCGCUCGGGGUAUUUUACAUUUGUCACUCUUCCUCCAGCCUUUGUCAGAUGGCAAAAAUUGUUCAACUAUUUAUUACGUUUUACAUAUAUAUAUAGUGUAGUACGAUAAUACAUUUAUAAUGUAAAUAUAAUAAUAAACACCUAAA